GACGAACGCUGGCGGCGUGCUUAACACAUGCAAGUCGAACGGAAAGGCCCUGCUUUUGUGGGGUGCUCGAUUGGCGAACGGGUGAGUAACACGUGAGUAACCUGCCCUUGACUUUGGGAUAACUUCACGAAACUGGGGCUAAUACCGGAUAGGAGCUCCUGCUGCAUGGUGGGGGUUGGAAAGUUUCGGCGGUUGGGGAUGGACUCGCGGGUUAUGAGCUUGUUGGUGGGGUAGUGGCUGACCAAGGCUUUGACGGGUACGCGGCCUGAGAGCGUGACCGGGCACAAGGGGACUGAGGGACGGAGCAGAGUGGUACGGGGGGCAGCAGGGGGGAGUAUGACACAAUGGGAGGAAGUCUGAUGCAACAACGCCGCGUGCGGGAUGACGGCCUUCGGGUUGUAAACAGCUGUCGCCUGUGACGAAGCGGGAGUGACGGUACUGGGUAAAGAAGCACCGGCUAACUACGUG
rnacentral:rRNA from 1 species